GGGUCUGUAGUAUAACCUGGACAGUGCACUCGGCUUCGGACCGAGAAAUCGGGGUUCAAAUCCUCGCAGGCCCA
rnacentral:tRNA from 1 species